AACGAACGCUGGCGGCAUGCCUAACACAUGCAAGUCGAACGAGACCUUCGGGUCUAGUGGCGCACGGGUGCGUAACGCGUGGGAACCUGCCCUUAGGUUCGGAAUAACUCCCCGAAAGGGGUGCUAAUACCGGAUAAUGUCUUCGGACCAAAGAUUUAUCGCCUUUGGAUGGGCCCGCGUUGGAUUAGCUAGUUGGUAGGGUAAAAGCCUACCAAGGCGACGAUCCAUAGCUGGUCUGGGAGGAUGAUCAGCCACACUGGGACUGAGACACGGCCCAGACUCCUACGGGAGGCAGCAGUGGGGAAUAUUGGACAAUGGGCGAAAGCCUGAUCCAGCAACGCCGGGUGAGUGAUGAAGGCCUUAGGGUUGUAAAGCUCUUUUACCCGGGAUGAUAAUGACAGUACCGGGAGAAUAAGCUCCGGCUAACUCCGUG
rnacentral:rRNA from 1 species